rnacentral:rRNA from 1 species
ACGCUCGACACCUACGGGAGGUAGCAGUGAGGAAUAUUGGUCAAUGGGCGCUAGCCUGAACCAGCCAAGUAGCGUGAAGGAUGAAGGCUCUAUGGGUCGUAAACUUCUUUUAUAUAAGAAUAAAGUGCAGUAUGUAUACUGUUUUGUAUGUAUUAUAUGAAUAAGGAUCGGCUAACUCCGUGGCAGCAGCCGCGGUAAUCUGAGCGGGCUGGCAAGGC